GACGAACGCUGGCGGCGUGCUUAACACAUGCAAGUCGAACGGAGUGGCGAACGAGUGAGUAACACGUGGCUGAUCUGCCUUGCGCUUCGGGAUAAGCUUAGGAAACUGGGUCUAAUACCGGAUAGUGCAAGAUGAGCUCGCGGCCUAUCAGCUUCUUGGUGGGGUAAUGGCCUACCAAGGCGUCGACGGGUAGCCGGCCUGAGAGGUUGUACGGCCACAGUGCGACUGAGAUACUGCGCAGACUCCUACGGGAGGCAGCAGUGAGGAAUAUUGCACAAUGGUCGGAAGUGUGAUGCAGCGACGCCGAGAGGGGGAUGAAGGCCAUCGGGUUGUAAACUCCUUUCGACAGGGACGCGGUACCUGUAUAAGAAGCACCGGCUAACUACGUGCCAGCAGCCGCGGUAAUUC
rnacentral:rRNA from 1 species